CCAGAAGAGACCCUAACCGGUCCUCUCAACCCUGCCCAUCGUACCCUUUAUGUUGUUCCCUCGGCGAGGCUUUUCAAGCCCGCCGGCGGGAAGAUCAACGAAACUCUUUGCAAGCAAGCAUCCUGAAACCUCUGAUCGAAUACAAAUUGUCA
rnacentral:misc_RNA from 1 species